CAAAAUAUGUGAUCAAAAGACAAAGUCGGAUCCAAAACUCUCGAUCUGAACCUUGAUAACCAACAACUCCAAACUCAAUAUCGAAUUCAACCGGACAGAUUGGAAAACAACGAAAAGUCUCACAAUGAAUGACCCACAAACCCGAAUAGAAUUCAAAAACAACCCAAGAUCUCAAAUUCGAAAUCCCAAACCAUCGAUUUCCAACUAACCUUGCACGAACCAAACCAACUCGAUAUCGAGGAAUAGCAAACUCGGAUGGAUUUAAAACCCUAAGAAAUAAGAAAUAUCAAAAGAACCGAGACUAAAAUUGUGAAAAAUGGAGAAGACCCAUACGCGAAAUCUCGUCGGAACCAACUCGAAUCUCGCCGAAAUCGAUGGAAAACGAGUUGGGUGUCGUUGAUUGGACACCGGCUUCACUGUUUUCGGUGAGAUUCAGAUUCGCCGGAGAGAGUUCAGGUCAUACCAGUGACUGCUGCCAUCGCCGGAGAGAGGUCGGGUCGGGUCGGUUGUGAUGGUCGCUGGCGAAGGCGCUGGACGACGGAGGAGGCCGGAUCUGAGCGGCGGCUGGAGGAGCAGCCCGUGCUGGCCUUUUGAGGCGGCACCGUCCCUGGCUGGUCGGCGUUUGAGAGGAGGAAGAGGAGGACGAGAGCAGGAGCGGCGUUGGCGCCGGCGCUGUUGUCGCCAAUGGGGGAGGCGAUGCCGUUUUU
rnacentral:lncRNA from 1 species